rnacentral:rRNA from 1 species
CAGGGGGUGCAAACGUUGCUCGGAAUUAUCGGGCGUAAAGCGCGCGUAGGCGGCUACUUAAGUCGGAUGUGAAAGCCCCUGGCUCAACUGGGGAAGUGCACCCGAAACUGAGUGGCUUGAGUGCGAAAGAGGGUCGCGGAAUCCCCCGGUGUAGAGGUGAAAUUCGUAGAUAUCGGGAGGAACACCGGUGGCGAAGGCGGCGACCUGGGUCGACACUGACGCUGAGGCGCGAAAGCGUGGGGAGCAAACAGGAUUAGAUACCCUGGUAGUCCACGCCGUAAACGAUGGGUGCUAGAUGUUUCUGGUAUUGACCCCGGAGGCGUCGUAGCUAACGCGUUAAGCACCCCGCCUGGGAAGUACGGCCGCAAGGCUA